rnacentral:rRNA from 1 species
GAAAGUAAUGAAGGGCGUACGGUGGAUGCCUAGGCUCUUACAGGCGAUGAAGGACGUGAUAAGCUGCGAAAAGCCGCGGUGAGGCGCAAAUGGCCCUUGACCCGCGGAUCUCCGAAUGGGACAACCCAAUAUCUUGAAGAGAUAUUAUCCCGCCGAUGCGGGAGGCGAACGCGGGGAACUGAAACAUCUUAGUACCCGCAGGAAAAGAAAAUAAAGAAUGAUUCCCCCAGUAGUGGCGAGCGACCGGGGAACAGCCCAAACCGACGUUGUCUCGGCAUCGUCGGGGUUGUAGGACCGCGCCAUCGCAAGAAAGGCCGUGAGUGGAAGCGACUGGAAAGCCGCGCCAUAGAGGGUGACAGCCCCUUACACGAAGCAGCCCGAAGCGUAGCGGACUCCUGAGUAGCGCGGGACACGAGUAAUCCUGUGUGAAUCCGCCGGGCCCAUCCGGCAAGGCUAAAUACUCGUAAGAGACCGAUAGUGAACCAGUACCGUGAGGGAAAGGUGAAAAGGACCCCUUGCAGGGGAGUGAAAUAGUUCCUGAAACCGUACGCCUACAAGCGGUCGGAGCAUCUUAAGUGAUGUGACGGCGUGCCUUUUGCAUAAUGAACCUACGAGUUGCCGUCACCAGCGAGGUUAAGUGCGAUGACGCACCGAGCCGCAGCGGAAGCGAGUCUUAAAAGGGCGCGAUAGUUGGUGGAGGCAGACGCGAAACCGAGUGAUCUACACUUGUCCAGGAUGAAGUCCCGGUAACACGGGAUGGAGGUCCGCACCAAUAAGCGUUGAAAAGCUUCUGGAUGAGGUGAGUGUAGGAGUGAAAGGCCAAUCAAACUCGGAGAUAGCUCGUACUCCCCGAAAGGCAUUUAGGUGCCGCCUCGGACGUUCCCGAUGUGAGGUAGAGCGACUGAUUGGAUGCGAGGGCUUCACCGCCUAUCAAGUCCUGAUAAACUCCGAAUGCGCAUCGGCCAAGUCCGGGAGUAAGGGCAUGGGUGCUAAGGUCCGUGCCCGAGAGGAGAAGAAUCCAGACCAUCGGCUAAGGUCCCGAAAUACUGGUUAAGUUAGACUAACGAAGUCCGGCCCCCAAGACAGCUAGGAUGUUGGCUUGGAAGCAGCCAUUCAUUCAAAGAGUGCGUAACAGCUCACUAGUCGAGGAGCUGGGCGUGGAUAAUAAUCGGGUAUAAAACCAGUUACCGAAGCCGUGGGAUGCAUAAGCAUCGGUAGGGGAGCAUUGCAUGCGGCUUAGAAGGCGGGGCGCGAGCCCCUCUGGAGCGCAUGGAAACGCAAAUGUAGGUAUAAGUAACGACAAGGGGGGUGGGAUGCCCCCCCGCCGAAAGACCAAGGUUUCCUGAACAACGCUAAUCGGUUCAGGGUCAGUCGGGUCCUAAGCAUAAGCCGUAUGGCGAUGGCGAUGGAUGAAACGGUUAAUAUUCCGUUACUGUCUUGGUGUGUGACGCGGCGACGGAGUAGUGACACGGCCGCCUCCUGACGGAAAAGGGGGUUGAAGCGCAAAGGUGUCGAGGAAGGCAGGCAAAUCCACCUUCCGAGCCGAAGCGCGAUAGUACGCUGCGCCCUUUGGGGCAAGGCGAUAGUGCCGGUAAUCAGACUUCCAAGAAAACCCGCUAAACUUCAGCAUCAAGUCACCCGUACUCCAAACGGACACACGUGGUCGGGUAGAAUAUACUAAGGCGCUUGGGAGAUUCACGGUUAAGGAACUAGGCAAAUUGACCCCGUACCUUCGGAAUAAGGGGUCCUCGCUUUUGCGAGGCGCAGAGAAUAGGUCCAGGCAACUGUUUAACAAAAACACAGGGCUGUGCCAAUUUGAAAGAAGAAGUAUACAGCCUGACACCUGCCCGGUGCCGGAAGGUUAAGAGGAGAGCUCAUCAGCGAUGAGAAGGCUUGAAUUGAAGCCCCGGUAAACGGCGGCCGUAACUAUAACGGUCCUAAGGUAGCGAAAUUCCUUGUCGGGUAAGUU